AUGGUACAUGAAACUCAGGAUGCUGACGACAAAAUGUGGCCUCCCAACAUUGAACACAUUUUUAUUGACAUUAUGGUGGAUGAACAACUGAAGGGGAAUAUGAAACAUGGUAUCUUUAAGGCUAUAACUUGGCAAUCAAUUACGAAAACCCUAAAUGAGUAAACUAGGAAGAGUUUCCUCCCUAGGUAAGUGAUCUAGAAGCAUAAUAGGCUCAGGCAAAAACAGAGAAAGUGGGGCUAGCUUUUGAGGCAUAUCGGGUUGGGGUGGGAUGAGACAACCCAAAUGGUUAUUGCUUCUGAGGAGGUGUGGGCGUACGUUGUUGUGAUAUGUUAUAUUUACUACCCUAAUUCUUUGCAUAUUUGUUUGUAAUUUUAUAUUUCGUAUUAGCAGGAUUUCGAUGUACAUAUUGUCCUAACUAUGACAAGCUGAGGCAACUGUUUGCCCUUAAUACUGUAACUGGUGCCCUUCAAAUUUCCUCAAAUACACCAGCCUCAUGUAGUGAUGAAGAGCGUGCCCUGGAGGAAGGGCUUGCCAAUGAGGCUCGUCAUACCCAGUUAGGUAAUGAUGAUUGCUACAAUCCUAACAUGGAGGGCAUAUCCCAAGACGGUCCCCUUGUUACCGAGCAAACCUAACAUGCAGACAAACAUCCCAUUGAAGAGCUUACUGGCAAGGGGAAGACAAUUUCCAAGAAAGGAGAUAGAGCUAGUGAAAUGACCAUAGUUCUUCAAGAGUACAUUGCAUUGGCAAGGGAAAUGUUUUCCAACAAAAAAGGGAGGUCUACUAGUAGCUCCAGCCAUGUUGCACAAUUUGCCGAUGGUGGCAAUCCUUGCUCCCUUGGGAGAGCUUUUGAAGUGCUGAAUACGUAUGUACACAAUCUACUUGAUGCAAUUUACAUUAGUAUAUGUGUUUGGUAAUUGCCAUUAUGUACUUGGUGUUUUUUUUUAUAGCAUUAUAUAUUUUUUAAAUAAUUUUUGUUAUUUAGCUCAUAUUACUUACUUUAUAAGAAGAGUUGUGCUAACGUUAUUGUAAUAUCUUUAGUACUUUAUAUUAAUGUGUCAGUUUACAUAUUGCAAUAUUUUUGGUAUUGAUGCUUUGGUUUUUGCAGGGUAUAGGGUAUAAUGGCCUCGCCUAGUGAUCCUUUCUGGUAGUAUGAUUUUGAUGACGCUUACUUUAACUCCAACGAUGAUGACAUGGACAUUGGUGGCUGUGGUGAUGACAUAGAUAUCAAUGACUGUGAUGAUGACAUGGAUAUUGGUGUAGAGACAGAUUCAGACUAUAACAGCAAGGAGGAAGAGCUUUGGUUUGUAUUUCCACUAGUUGGUAAGAUGGUGGCAUAUUUCCAGUGGCAUUACGACAAGUGCCCAAUGCAUACUAGUAUUUUGAGUGGAAAAGAUUAUAUGGCUAAAGUGAGAGAUGACAAUCCUUCCAAUUAUCGUGACAUGUUCCGCAUUACAUUAGAUUUGUUCUAUCACUUGGUUGAUGAACUGAAACAUCAUGGGUACUUGAAGGAAGGAAAUGGGCGUGUUGACGUGCAAAAAUCAAUGGCCAUAUUCUUGUACAUUGUCCGUCAUAAUACUUGGAUGCAACCUGUGGCAGAUAGAGUUCAGCAUUCCAUUGAAACAGUGGACCGCAAGUUCCAUAGGGUGUUGCAAGUUGUCCACACAUAUGAGCAACAUUUAAUCAAGCCCAAUCCGAAUGUGGUAGGCCUUCCAGAGCAUCUGCAAGGAAACAACAAGUACUACCCUUGGUUUGAGGUAAAUAAUUUCAUAAUAUAAAUUCUUCCAAAAUGGUUGUUCACACAUAUUACUAUAUAGUACUCCUUCGUUCACAUAUAGAGAUGUUGUGUACAACUAAUUGGCACUCUUCAAUGUAGAAAAGUAUAGGAGCUAUUGACGAAACACAUAUUAGUGCUUGGCCUCCAGCGGAAAGAGUCCAUUCUCACAGGAGUCACAAGAGUACUGUUACAACCAAUGUUACGUGCACAUGUAACCAUGAUAUGCGGUUUACGUAUGUCCAUUUUGGUUGGGAGGGAAGAGCCAACGACUCAAGGCUAUUUGAAGAAGCUAUUAAAGACCCGAAGCAUGGAUUCCCAUGGCCACCAGAAGGUAUGCGUCUUUAACUUAAAUUCUGCCUCAUAUAAUCCCAUGACUUAAACUCAAACAACUAGAAUAAAUUAAAUUAUUAUCUUUCAAUUUAAUAUUUAUUGCAAUAUUACAUUUACUGUACAACUCCUAUGUAUUACAAUAUUAAAUUCUGCCUCAUAUGUAUUGCAAUAUUAAAUUUUCACUACUACAAGCAAGCAACGACUAUAAAAAUCCUAGUGAAUUUAAGAGAUUAUGUGUUCAAAAUAUCUGGUUUUAUUAUGAUUAGCUAUCAGUGUUUUGUAUUUAGACCUAAAAGUUUAUAGCAUAUAUCUACUUCUAUUCUUAGUUAUACUUUGUAAGUGUGGGUUUAUUGUCUUCUGCAAUUAUAAAACUGAUAUGUGAUUGUGAAUCAUAAGUACAAGAGUUUUAUACAGCCAGAACUAUUAAUGGUAUUUUAUUGGUGAUUGAAUGAUUUUUUUUUUCCUGAACUGAAGAUACAAAAAGGUCUCCCCCUUGAAUCUUGAUGGUAUCAUUUGGUGAUUGGUAGAUUGUUAGCUUGAAUUAUUGUCUUUUGAUUGAUACUAUAUUCUGUAGUCAUGCGUAUUAGAUUUCUUAGAAAUGCUGUGCAAUAGAAAAUAGACAUGUUUUGAGUAAAACCUAUGUUUGGAAAAGGGCCUAAGAACUGUUGGGUUUUUUUUUUGUGCAUGUUAAAAAGGGCCCAACAAUUUUCUGAGUAUAUGUUGUGCAUAAUCUAGUGUUUUACUUUGAGAGUACUUAAUUGAAGAUGCAAUUAGUGUGUUUGGAACCUAGUUAAUUAAUAGUUCUUAGAAAUUUUUUGUAGAUUAUUAAUAUUGAUUGAGAUAUGCUAUUUUUGUAGGUUCUUACUACUUGGUUGAUUCGGGAUACCACAUUGGUGCAUCGUUUCUUCCACCACACAAGAUCACCCGAUGUGAUGCCCAAGAAUUCAAGAGCAAUAGGCAACCGACAUUGGGGAAAGAGUUGUUUAACUAUAGGCACUCUUCAUUGCGCAUGGUAAUUAAGAGGUGUUUUGGAGUCCUAAAGGCUCACUUUUCCAUAUUGAGUUGCAUGGUGAACUAUAAGCAAUAUCGUCAAUGUUUGGUUGUUUCUGUGUGUUGUGCGUUACACAAUUUUAUACGCAUCAAUAAUAAAAAAGAUGUAUUGUUUAACACAUGGGAGAACCUUGAUCUUGAUAGAGAUGAUGUACAAACUAGAAACAAUGGGAAUUCUCCUGAGUCGAGUGUAAGUGCUGAAGGGAGGCAUGUGAGGGAGAUGUCUGAUGUAGCAAAGAGAGCAAUGAGUGAGUUUAGGGAUGAUAUGACUGACCGCAUGUGGGAGGAGUAUGUGUGA
rnacentral:sRNA from 1 species